rnacentral:rRNA from 1 species
AUGCAUCAAGCCACGGGGCCUCCCCUCUCCGAGCGCUACCACGCAGAGGCGGCUCAGUUCCGGGAGAAGUUCCACGCGAUGGACAUCAGCCGUGUGGCUGUAGAUCCAACCGACCGGCGAUGGAGCAGCUGUCAGCGUUCCUCCGCGCGGCACCAGGUUCCGUUGCACCUCCUCCAUUGUGCUCUCCCUGCCUCGCGGUCCCUACCAGAAGCCUUGCCAGCUGUAGUCUCCCAGAUCCUCCUCUCUAAGCGUCUCUACUUCCCGUGCGAUAUCACCGGCUUCACGAUCUCCACCAUGAUGGGCGUCACAAGCCCAAGGGAGCGCGUCGAGACCAUGGCGAUAAUGCUUCCCUUCCUACCGUCGUUGCCGUGUUCCGCCAAUUGCGGCAGGAAGCCAUGGCGCAGGCAGAAAAGUCGCCUGUCGAGUAGGCGGCUUCAGGUGCAACACCGGAUAAGUGACCCCUCCGUCAUAAGAUGA